rnacentral:rRNA from 1 species
AGAGUUUGAUCAUGGCUCAGGAUGAACGCUGGCGGCGUGCUUAGCACAUGCAAGUCGAACGGAAAGGCUCCUGCUUGCAGGGGUACUCGAGUGGCGAACGGGUGAGUAACACGUGGGUGAUCUGCCCUGCACUUCGGGAUAAGCCUGGGAAACUGGGUCUAAUACCGGAUAGGACCAUCGUUUAGUGUCGGUGGUGGAAAGUUUUUCGGUGUGGGAUGAGCUCGCGGCCUAUCAGCUUGUUGGUGGGGUAAUGGCCUACCAAGGCGUCGACGGGUAACCGGCCUGAGAGGGUGUACGGCCACAUUGGGACUGAGAUACGGCCCAGACUCCUACGGGAGGCAGCAGUGGGGAAUAUUGCACAAUGGGCGCAAGCCUGAUGCAGCGACGCCGCGUGGGGGAUGACGGCCUUCGGGUUGUAAACUCCUUUCGUCAGGGACGAAGCGAGAGUGACGGUACCUGGAUAAGAAGCACCGGCUAACUACGUGCCAGCAGCCGCGGUAAUACGUAGGGUGCGAGCGUUGUCCGGAAUUACUGGGCGUAAAGAGCUCGUAGGUGGUUUGUCGCGUCGUUUGUGGAAUACCGCAGCUUAACUGCGGGGUUGCAGGCGAUACGGGCAUAACUUGAGUGCUGUAGGGGAGACUGGAAUUCCUGGUGUAGCGGUGGAAUGCGCAGAUAUCAGGAGGAACACCGAUGGCGAAGGCAGGUCUCUGGGCAGUAACUGACGCUGAGGAGCGAAAGCAUGGGUAGCGAACAGGAUUAGAUACCCUGGUAGUCCAUGCCGUAAACGGUGGGCGCUAGGUGUGAGUCCCUUCCACGGGGUUCGUGCCGUAGCUAACGCAUUAAGCGCCCCGCCUGGGGAGUACGGCCGCAAGGCUAAAACUCAAAGGAAUUGACGGGGGCCCGCACAAGCGGCGGAGCAUGUGGAUUAAUUCGA